rfam:Oryza nivara chromosome 10, whole genome shotgun sequence.
UUUAAGUGCAGCCAUAAAUUCCCGUAUAUAAUUUUGAUUGUCCGUCUUUUAAAAUUUUUUUUAUAAUUAGUAUUUUUAUUAUUGUUAGAUAAUAAUAAAACAUAAAUAUAACUUUUAUGCGUGUCUUAUAUUUCUUAUUUUACUAAAAUUCUUUCAAAUAAGGUGGACGAUCAAAGUUGCCACGGAAACUCUGUACUAAUA